rnacentral:rRNA from 1 species
UACAGAGGGUGCGAGCGUUAAUCGGAAUUACUGGGCGUAAAGCGUGCGUAGACGGCUAUCUAAGUCGGGUGUGAAAGCCCCGGGCUCAACCUGGGAAUUGCAUUCGAGACUGAAUAGCUAGGGUACGGUAGAGGGAAGCGGAAUUUCCGGUGUAGCGGUGAAAUGCGUAGAUAUCGGAAGGAACAUCAGUGGCGAAAGCGGCUUCCUGGACCAGUACCGACGUUCAGGCACG